GAUGGCAAGUUUGUCUCAACAUUUAGUAACUGAAUGUUGGUGGGUUUAACCUAAGUGCUCCCUGAGCAAUUAAAAGAAAGAAGCAUAAUGUGAAUUCCACCCCUACACUGAGGAUCUGAACAACAGCCUGGAUUGAAAAAGGAGAGUUGUAUGGGAAGCACUUGGCAAAGUUCAGGGAAAAUCCAGGUGUGAAUCACUUCUCUGCUUCUGCCCUGUCCCAAAGUUCAUGUUCAGGGAGGAUUGGAAAGGUACUGAAGCACCAAACAGGGAUCUUCAGGAGUAAACAAAUCCUCCAGUGGACCCACAUUCAGCCACCCCUGAACUUCUGAGACAGAGCUGAGCAGCUGAGGGCAGGAUUGUGCCUGGUUCUGUUCUGGUCCUGGUUCUGUUCUGGCUCUAUUCCUGGUUCAGUUCUGGUUCUGUCCUGGCUCUAUUCCUGGUCUGUCCUGGUUCUGUUCCUGGCUCUAUUCCUGGUUCUUUCCUGGUUCUAUUCCUGGUUCUGUCCUGGUUCUGUCCUGGUUCUGUCCUGGCUCUAUUCCUGGUCUGUCCUGGUUCUGUUCCUGGCUCUAUUCCUGGUUCUGUUCCUGGCUCUAUUCCUGGUUCUGUCCUGGCUCUAUUCCUGGUUCAGUCCUGGUUCAGUCCUGGUUCUGUUCCUGGCUCUAUUCCUGGCUCUAUUCCUGAUUCUGUUCUGGCUCUAUUCCUGGUUCAGUCCUGGUUCUGUCCUGGUUCUGUUCCUGGCUCUAUUCCUGGUUCUGUUCCUGGCUCUAUUCCUGGUUCUGUCCUGGCUCUAUUCCUGGUUCAGUCCUGGUUCAGUCCUGGUUCUGUUCCUGGCUCUAUUCCUGGCUCUAUUCCUGGUUCUGUUCCUGGCUCUAUUCCUGGUCUGUCCUGGUUCUGUUCCUGGCUCUAUUCCUGGUUCUAUUCCUGGUUCUGUUCCUGGUUCUGUUCCUGGCUCUACUCCUGGUUCUGUCCUGGUUCUGUUCCUGGUUCUGCUGCCCCCAUCCACCCCGGCACAGCCAAGCUGCUCUGCCCCGACACCACAUCCUGUUGCCCCGGGAGCAAGGGAAGGGAUGUGGGAUUGCUCAGCCAGCCACAGCUCCAUUGCAUCACUGCUCAGUCACCUGCCUUCCUCUGCCUCCACUCCCUGCUCCCAGGCUCCAUCCCAAACCCUCCUGCAGGUUAUUUUUCUCAGGAAUACAAAUAAAAGCACACUGCUUCACCUGUGUUCUCUGCCCUUGGCUUCCUCCAUCUAUUCCCAGCUGCAUCCCAUCCUGCCUCUCCCUUGAGCCCCGUCCCUUCCUCUCCACUUCCAGAGUGAUCCAAAACCCACUGGAGUCAACAGAACACUUUCUGUGGCCUUCCAGGACCUUGGAUCCGCUCUUGGACAAGCUCUGUUCCUCUUUAAAAUCUCUUCUUCACAUAAAGCUUUUCAUUGUGCUCGCCUCUGUUGUCU
rnacentral:lncRNA from 12 species